rnacentral:rRNA from 1 species
ACGGAGGGUGCGAGCGUUAAUCGGAAUUACUGGGCGUAAAGCGUAUGUAGGCGGUUUGAUCAGUCGGAUGUGAAAUCCCCGAGCUUAACUUGGGAAUGGCAUUCGAAACUAUCAAGCUAGAGUAGGCUAGAGGAAAGGGGAAUUCCGCGUGUAGCAGUGAAAUGCGUAGAUAUGCGGAGGAACACCAAUGGCGAAGGCACCUUUCUGGGGUCAUACUGACGCUGAGAUACGAAAGCGUGGGGAGCAAACAG